UUUUUAAAUUGCUGUGGUAUUUUGACUAUACAAAGGUAUUGUAAUAAGAUUUUAAUUGAAUGCUAAAAGAAUGGAUUAACAGAUAAAUACUUUCUUUAAUUUAAAAAUUAAAUUUAUUAUUUUUUGUGCAGAAACAAAAAUAAAAAUUAAGGACAAGAAGACCCUAAGAAUUUUAAUUUGAUUUAAAUAAUUUAUAUUUCUUAAUCAAAUUUAAUUGGGGCGAUUGAAAAAUAUUUUUAACUUUUUUUUAAAAAAAAUAUGAACCAUUAAUAAUGGUAAUAUGAAAAAAUACUCUAGGGAUAACAGCGUAAUAAUUUUUGAUAGUUCAUAUAGACAAAAUAGUUUGCGACCUCGAUGUUGGAUUAGGAUUCUAAUUUAAUGAAGAAGUUAAAUUAAGAAGUUUGUUCAACUUUUAAAUU
rnacentral:rRNA from 1 species